rnacentral:ncRNA from 3 species
UUCAAGUAAUCCAGGAUAGGA